UAUCUCGUAUUCAUUUGGUGAGUUUUAUUGUAUACGGCUUCAGUGACAAUUAUAUUUGUGUUCCUUGCGGCAAAUAAUAAUGUCUCGCGUUGCUUCUCAUGACGCCCAAGUCCGACGACUCGCUCCGCGACGGCGCGACGGGAACGACCGGUCAUCGUUCGCUUUGCUCACCGCGCUCGACCGAGCCACACGUUUCCGGCCGACUUGCGCCCCGUCCUCAAACCGCCUCAAAGUAAUUUCGACUUCCGACAGUCGUCUCAUCGAGAACCGCUCCGCUCUCGCCGCAACGACCUGGGCGUCGUGUCCUCCCGCUCGCCGACCGCGGACAUCGCACGUCGUACACCGACAGCCGGCUCUUCGACGUACCCGCUACGCUCGCCGACCGCGCGCGCCUAAAGCCACACCGAUUACUGUCGACCCGCUCACGAACCGUACGCAAUAAUCUGUGGCUCCAUGUCGCGCACCUUUUCGUAUGGAACACAACAAACGGUUUUCGACGCGACCGCGUCAUGAUCAUGAAACAAUGUGUUAUUUUAUUAAUUUUGUCCUGUAAACCUUCUGACGCAAGAGUCAGAUCUCAAACGUAUUUGUGUUUAGUGUGGAUGUUGUACGUUCGGAACGUUUGCCAGAACCGCGAUUAUCACUGGUAGUUCAUUUUACCCGAUUUUACUGGACUUUAAUACUUAAUAGCAAACUGGAGUCUGAAACCAUAGUCCGUUCCAUGUGUCUGUAACUGAAAUACCUUAACAAAACGCUAUGUGUGGAUUGCUUUGAGUUUUGACACCACCUGUGGAUCAUCAUCACCCCAUCAUUGUUGUAUAUUGAUUGUUAACAGUCUGGUCAUAAGUUAAUGAGGAUCAUUAUAUGUUGUCUUUAGGUAUUCAUAGCUUAAAAAUAUUAUCUACAAGUGAUUUUUCAAAUAGACAUCACUGUGUAUAAUAGUUUAAGCUAUUACCUAAUUCAUUACAUUCCUAUAUUCAGACAGUGAAGCACCAAUAUCAUUUAUUACAAAGAUCUUUAGAAGACAUGACCGUUUAA